AUGGUUUCCCUCUUCAGACAACACCCUGGAACACAAACCUUGUGCAAUUUUCUCUCUUGUCUCUUGUCAAUUCCCUCCAUUCAUUCAGUGAAAAUGUGGCUCAACCUUGUGUCCUUUCUAGUAGUCCUCAAAGGAGUCCAUUCUCAAGUCCAAUCUCAGUUGGUGGAGUCUGGAGGGGACGUGAGAAGACCUGGAGGGUCCCUCCAUCUCUCCUGCCAAGCCUCUGGAUUUGAUUUCAGCAGCUAUUACAUGAGCUGGGUGAGACAGGCUCCAGGGAAAGGACUGGAAUGGGUGGCAUACAUAGGCUAUGCUUCUGGUACGAUUCGCUACUCAGACAAAGUGAAGGGCCGCUUCACCAUCUCCAGAGACAAUGCCAAAAGCCAGAUGUAUCUGCAGAUGAACAGCCUCAAAGCUGAAGACACGGCGGUCUAUUACUGUGCGGGAGACACAUUGCUUGGUAGUUUCUUCUACAAUCCCACUAACCUCUGGGGGAAGAUUUUAAAGGAUGAAGAAUCAUUGAAAGCAGAGACAGACUAA